rnacentral:rRNA from 1 species
UUUACCUACGGGAGACAGCAGUGAGGAAUAUUGGUCAACGGGCGGGAGCCUGAACCAGCCAAGUCGCGUGAGGGAAGACGGUCCUACGGAUUGUAAACCUCUUUUGCCGGGGAGCAACAGGGUCCUUGCGAGGUCCCAAUGAGAGUACCCGGAGAAAAAGCAUCGGCUAACUCCGUGCCAGCAGCCGCGGUAAUACGGAGGAUGCGAGCGUUAUCCGGAUUUAUUGGGUUUAAAGGGAGCGUAGGCCGGCUUUUAAGUCAGCUGUGAAAGUCCGCGGCUCAACCGUGGAAUUGCAGUUGAAACUG